AACGUAGGAGACAAACGUUAUCCGGAGUUACUGGGCGUAAAGGGCGUGUAGGCGGUUUUUUAAGUCUGGCGUGAAAGCUCUCGGCUAAACCGGGAGAGGUCGUUGGAUACUGGCAAACUAGAGGACGGUAGAGGCGUGUGGAAUUCCGGGUGUAGUGGUGAAAUGCGUAGAGAUCCGGAGGAACACCAGUGGCGAAGGCGACACGCUGGGCCGUACCUGACGCUGAGACGCGAAAGCGUGGGGAGCAAACAGG
rnacentral:rRNA from 1 species